rnacentral:rRNA from 1 species
GAGUUACUACUCCAAACCCAUUGUGAACCUUACCUUAUGUUCUGUUGCCUCGGCGGCGUCGGUCAGCGCCCCUCUGAAAAGAGGACGAUGCCCCUCCCGCCGGCAGCACCAAACUCUUGAAUUUUACAGCGGAUUACAGUUCUGAUUUGAAAACAAAAAACAAGUUAAAACUUUCAACAACGGAUCUCUUGGUUCUGGCAUCGAUGAAGAACGCAGCGAAAUGCGAUAAGUAAUGUGAAUUGCAGAAUUCAGUGAAUCAUCGAAUCUUUGAACGCACAUUGCGCCCGGCAGUAAUCUGCCGGGCAUGCCUGUCCGAGCGUCAUUUCAACCCUCGAACCUCCGUUUCCUCAGGGAAGCCCAGGGUCGGUGUUGGGGCGCUACGGCGAGUCUUCGCGACCCCCGUAGGCCCCGAAAUACAGUGGCGGUCCCGCCGCGGUUGCCUUCUGCGUAGUAAGUCUCUUUUGCAAGCUCGCAUUGGGUCCCGGCGGAGGCCUGCCGUCAAACCACCUAACAACUCCAGAUGGUUUGACCUCGGAUCAGGUAGGGUUA